CCUUUAAUAGCUCAGUUGGUAGAGCAGAGGACUAUAGGUAGUUGUUGAUAUCCUUAGGUUGCUGGUUCGAAUCUGGCUCAAAGGA
rnacentral:tRNA from 1 species